rnacentral:rRNA from 1 species
AUGGGUCGAGCAGAUGAGAGAUACCACAAGGGGAUCGGGCAAGGCCGACGUCCUGAGGAUGAUGAUUCGGAGGAUUCUUGUGGUUGUUCCCACUAUAGGAGGUUGCACUUUUUGUACCGUCAUGAACAAAGAGAUCCUAGAUAUUAUGAUCAUGAAUUUCAUUGUGUCAGAUUUCGUCAGAACUGUUGUCCGAAUUGGAAUCAUAGUGCACUACAUCUUGGAAAUGGUUAUCCCGAUAGGUAUGGUUACCCAGGUCAUCCACAUCGUGGCUAUGGCUACCCAAUUGGACGAUUUGAUCAAGAUUGUAUGGAUCUGUACAAUCCGAGUCUGAUGGAUUCUUGGGAUGACAAGCUUGUAGAUACUCAAUGCUGUUCUCGGUACAAACUGACUCGUGGAAAGAACGAUUUCCCUGUGGCUGCAUCGCUAAGUAAUCCUGAGAAGUGGAUAUGCUUCCUUAAUUGUAUUCUCCAGUGUGUUGUUCACACAGUUCCUUUAGUGUCGAAGCUUCUGAAAGAUCGCCACCUAGGUCCAUGUCCUAGUAGUUCUGACGAAUUCUGCUGUUACUGCUCCCUACGACACCAUGCUUCUGAAGUUAUCAGGCUCUCAGGAGAUGUUCUCUACCCCAGAAAGUUUGUCAAACGCCUCAAGUCGAUAUUUCGAGAUUUCGAGCAGGGACAACACCAAGAUGCACAUGAAUUCCUCCGCUGCUUGCUUGAUAAAUUAGAUGAGGUAACUGUCGCUCCCAGGUCUGAAUCCGAGGAGCCCUCUUCUAUUGUCAAAGAACUUUUUGGGGGCCAACUGAAAAGCCAGUUGAAUUGUCCAAAGUGCAAUCAUUGCUCGGACAGAUUGGAGUCUUUCCUUGACCUUAACCUGGAGGUUAACCAAAUGGACACUAUCAUGGAUUCACUAUCAUCUUAUACCAAAAUUGAGGUUGUGGAAGAUUUCAUUUGUGAUGGAUGCAAAUCUCGUGUGAACAUGGAAAAGCACCUCAAGGUGGAGCAGGCUCCAGAAGUUCUUGUAAUCCAGCUCAAACGGUUUCAAAAUUUGGGGAGUGAUAUAUCUAAGAUUCAUGACAUGGUGAAGUAUCAGUUAGAGCUGGAUUUAAACCCCUUCAUGAGCUCCCCUGUUGACAAACCUCAAUGCUAUGAUUUGUAUGGAGUUGUAGAACACUGGGGUAACACAGCCAAGGGUCACUAUGUUUGUUAUAUCCGUUCAUCAGAAACUGAUUGGUUUCUCUUUGACGAUGAUAAGAUUGUGAAAAUGACUGAGGACAGAGUUUUGGAGAAAAAAGCAUAUGUUCUGUUCUAUGUCAAGAAAGGUUCAUCCCCAUGGUUCUCUACAUUACUUGAGAAGGAGAUGUUGCUGUCGGAUUAUUUUGAAGAAUUGGCGGGCAAAGGAUUAGAUGAGGAUGGUGCUUCCAAAGCGGGCAGCUACAGUAGCAGUGGUAGUGACAGUGACAAUGGCAGUGUUGAACAAGAUGUCACGGAGCAUUUUUCUGGACCAGCAGAGAAAAAUGAAGCUGGCCCCAGUUCGGCCGGCUUGUCACAAGGAGUCCAAGGAAUUGAAAACGGCAGUACCCUUUGCAGUGUACCUGACAAAAACGAAGUGGGUUGCAGCCUAGGUGGAGUACCAUCUGGAGGAACACAGAAACCCACCUCCCUUACCCUAUCAAGUGUGGAAAAUGGAGAUGCUAGUGGGUUGCCGUUGCUAUUGGAGAACAAAGAGAAGUCCAGCCGGCACCAGGGAAGCGAACCAUAA